rnacentral:rRNA from 1 species
UACGUAGGGAGCAAGCGUUGUCCGGAAUCAUUGGGCGUAAAGCGCGUGUAGGCGGCUUGUUAAGUCCGCUCUGAAAGCCCGGGGCUCAACCCCGGGAGGCGGGUGGAUACUGGCAAGCUCGAGUCCGGAAGAGGCGACUGGAAUUCCUGGUGUAGCGGUGGAAUGCGCAGAUAUCAGGAGGAACACCGAUGGCGAAGGCAGGUCACUGGGCCGCAACUGACGCUGAGGAGCGAAAGCAUGGGGAGCGAACAGG